UGGGGAAUUUUGGACAAUGGGCGAAAGCCUGAUCCAGCAAUGCCGCGUGUGUGAAGAAGGCCUUCGGGUUGUAAAGCACUUUUGUCCGGAAAGAAAUCCUUGGCUCUAAUACAGUCGGGGGAUGACGGUACCGGAAGAAUAAGCACCGGCUAACUACGUGCCAGCAGCCGCGGUAAUACGUAGGGUGCAAGCGUUAAUCGGAAUUACUGGGCGUAAAGCGUGCGCAGGCGGUUUGCUAAGACCGAUGUGAAAUCCCCGGGCUCAACCUGGGAACUGCAUUGGUGACUGGCAGGCUAGAGUAUGGCAGAGGGGGGUAGAAUUCCACGUGUAGCAGUGAAAUGCGUAGAGAUGUGGAGGAAUACCGAUGGCGAAGGCAGCCCCCUGGCAAUCACUGACGCUCAUGCACGAAAGCGUGGGGAGCAAACAGGAUUAGAUACCCUGGUAGUCCACGCCCUAAANGAUGUCAACUAGUUGUUGGGGAUUCAUUUCCUUAGUAACGUAGCUAACGCGUGAAGUUGACCGCCUGGGGA
rnacentral:rRNA from 1 species